AUUUAAAAAAAAAAUACCAAACACAACAUAAUACACACGCAAUGAGGUUUCCGCAGGGAUUUCCAUAAAGCGGCACUUUAAGUGGCAAAGACCUGCAGCAAGACUCUAGCCGGACCAUCACAUACAACAUAUCCUUGCUACUGAUUGACGCUGUAUUCCUAUACACACACUGCCUCCUCCUUUGCCUGCUUGGAUAUACUUACCUCAUUUCAUUAUGUAUGCAUCAUUGCAAAUAAAUUCAAUCGAAGUGUAUCUCAUUAAUGCAGUCCUGUCGGUUGUUAUGUGAGUAUAGUCCUUUGCGAGUCCUGAUUUCUGACUGCUGCCGAGCUGCUGCUGCUACACAACAAAGCUCGUCCUUAUAGUAUAACUCGCCAUUGCCAUACAUAACUCACAGAGCACAACACAGGACACACAACAACAGAGAAUAAAGUUAAGUGUGUUGUUGUGUUGUGUUUUGCUGCAAUCCGAUUCGGGGUGCAAAUUGGUUGACAUUUAUUACGCUUUAUUACAGCCAAGCUAAUGGGCUGUAUGGUAAACUGUUCUCUCUCUGUACAAACAAACACAGGGUGGUUCUUUCUGGUUUUUGGAUUGGGAUUGGAAUUGUCAGAAAAUAACGUUUCUGUGUAUCGUAACGUAAUCGUAUAUAAAAUUAUUCAACAAAACUUUUGUGUUUUCAGAUAUUGUACUGACUGGCUGUUAGAGUGUUACUAUACAAACUACACUUCUCUUUUGUACUUGUGGAAGUUGGAGAAAAAGAGAUCAUUUUGUUUUGUGUUUUAUUCAGCAGUGUAAACCGCAGCAAAUGCAGCUUUGUUUAUCAUGGCUAAGGUUCAUUAGUUAGAGGUUGGAGUCAAGUCGUAGUUACUGCUGCUGUGAACUGGAAGGAAGGAAGGAAGGCAUCAAAAAAAUAUUCUCUUUUUCUCUCAGUAAGACACGUGGCAAUGAAGCCUACAUUGUACACCUUUGCCGAAUGAGUUUUUGUAA